rnacentral:rRNA from 1 species
AUUGAACGCUGGCGGCAUGCCUUACACAUGCAAGUCGAACGGCAGCACGGGUGCUUGCACCUGGUGGCGAGUGGCGAACGGGUGAGUAAUACAUCGGAACAUGUCCUGUAGUGGGGGAUAGCCCGGCGAAAGCCGGAUUAAUACCGCAUACGAUCUACGGAUGAAAGCGGGGGACCUUCGGGCCUCGCGCUAUAGGGUUGGCCGAUAGCUGAUUAGCUAGUUGGUGGGGUAAAGGCCUACCAAGUCGACGAUCAGUAGCUGGUCUGAGAGGACGACCAGCCACACUGGGACUGAGACACGGCCCAGACUCCUACGGGAGGCAGCAGUGGGGAAUUUUGGACAAUGGGCGAAAGCCUGAUCCAGCAAUGCCGCGUGUGUGAAGAAGGCCUUCGGGUUGUAAAGCACUUUUGUCCGGAAAGAAAUCCUUGGCUCUAAUACAGUCGGGGGAUGACGGUACCGGAAGAAUAAGCACCGGCUAACUACGUG